rnacentral:misc_RNA from 1 species
GUAUAAGGGACAGGUGAAUCAUCGAAUCUUUGAACGCACAUUGCGCCCUUUGGUAUUCCUUAGGGCAUGCCUGUUCGAGCGUCAUUUACAAAUUCAAGCUCAGCUUGGUGAUGGGUGUCUGUUCCGCCUUUGCGCGUGGACUCGCCUCAAAUGCAGUUGGCAGCUUGUUCCUCGGCUCUAAACGCAGCAGAUUUGCGUCGAGCGUCGAGCGGACGGGCUCUCCAGUAAGCAAACCCCACAAAUUGACCUCGGAUCAGGUAGGGAUACCCGCUGAACUUAAGCAUAUCAAUAAGCGGAGGA